GAGUACUUGGAGUUUGAGUUGAGUUCUGUUCGAGGGAAACGUGAGAAGGAGGAAGUUUAGGGUUUCUACAAGAGCCACGGCCUCCACUUGUUCCACCGAAUUGGUGUCCACUGAUUUGGUGAAGCCAUCCAGUACUCUUCCCAUGGAAUCUCGGCAUAUGCAAGCAACAGCUCCCCUUUUUGGGUGUGCCGUAUAAGAUCUGGCAAUGGACCCACAAAGAGGAAUCUGCAAGUUGGAUAUGGAGGACUCAUUGUGAGAAUCGUCGGCUGGACAGGCUAGAUUCUGGAAAUUGGCAUCAUUACGUCUCGGGGCUUCAUCGUGGGUAUGAUUCACGAUGCUUGGGGCUGCUGUUCUGUCAUCCUCAAAGAUGGGGUAGUUUCCUGGCUGGGAGCAGUCUUCUAUCAAGGGGGAUUCCGGUCUCGUCCAAUGCUCAACAGAUGAGCGUGCCUUGGAAUGGAUGUGUUGGGUCCCCGUUGGCAACUCUGGGCAGCUAUUGCAAGUGAAUCAAUGUUUCUCCAGACCAGCUCAGCUAUUGAUUUACUUAAGUUCAGUUCUGGUAUAGUGGAGGGGUUUGGGGGUUCAUCGAGUUGCUGUUGGAAGGGUUCUCCUGGGAGAUCUAAUGGGGAUUUGUCUGUAUUCUCAUAGCCCCCACCUUGAGAAGUUUCAGUCACAAAGGAGGCGUCAAUAUUGAUGAGGAUGGUACCAGGGUUUGGGGGUUGCCACUUUUGAGUUGAGGUACUAAGCAGGUUCAUGGGGUUUUGCCGAAAUAUAAAAUGGUUUCUGUCCUUCCAAAUCCACCACAGGACCGAUGCGAGCUGGGCAAAUGUUGGAAUAUGCGUUCCAGGUCAGAGAAGUCCAUGGACAAAGUAACAGGGUGUGCUCUACCGUUUCUGGUUCAAGUUUGCAAAUCGGGCAAUUUAGGGCAGGUUUUCUUUCCAACUCUCCAAUUUCAUGUUGACCUUUGCAACAAUCCAUGCAAACAUGUCCUUCUUGGUAGCACCCCAAAUCCGACGGAAAUCCUAGUGGCAAAGAAGAUGAAUGAAAUGGUUUGUAGCUACUUCCACCGAUAUAUCUACUUGAUCAUUCCAGAAGAUGGCCAUAUCCCCGCCAAUUCCUAUCGGGUUUACCAGCAAGAUUAGGAUUUCCCUGGCCUUUUUCUGAUGCUGGUGCAGUGUCACAAUGCUUACCAUAGAAUACUUUCCCAUAAGGGCUAAGUACUUACACUUCCGCACGAGAGCCAAUUUCCAAAUUUUCCUGUCACACAACAUCUACUGAGCCCACAAGGGAAGAAUUGAAAUACAAACCCCUCCGGGAUAUACUCGGGCAACAAACUAGAGGAGAUUUUGGGGGAGGAGAUAGGCUGACAUCAUGCUGCUUGGAAUACCCAUUUGGUGUAUCUUUCAGAUGAAGGGAGCUCUAGACAUACCUUUCAGCAACAAAUUUUCGAGAAUCACAACAUCUGAAACAGCAACACAGAGGAUCCAUCUUGACAGCUUCUCCGAGAGGAAGAGGAUGAUCGAGAAAGGCCCAAGAUGAAGCUAUGAUUCCGGGGAUUGAUUUCGGUCAUUUAGGGUUUGUGGAAGGCUUGUUUAGUGAGAAAAUGGCUGGGUGUGGGAAUGGGAAGGAUUGAUCUGUGUGAAAACAUCUGAUGGGAGGAUAUCUGAGGUUUGGUUUGAAAUGGAUUAGGGUUUAUGCGGGAUUUUGAGGCAAAACUACCCUAGGGUAGAGAAGACGCUACCAUGUGGUAGAGAGGAAACGAGAGCAUCUCGAGUUCCAUUCCACUGACCGUCCACUUGAUUUACACUACAUGAAUAUGAGUAAAAAAUGGUUAAAUUGGUCAAAUAUGGGUUGACCCAUUUUCGACCCGACCCAAACCCAACCUAACCCACUUAUUUAACGGGUCUAGUUAUCAUCAUAUUCAUGCGCCUGUGAAAAA